AUUGAACGCUGGCGGCAGGCUUAACACAUGCAAGUCGAACGAGUGGCGGACGGGUGAGUAAUGCUUGGGAAACUGCCUUAUGGAGGGGGAUAACUACAGGAAACUGUCGCUAAUACCGCGUACCAUAGGAUGAGCCCAAGUGGGAUGAGGUAGUUGGUGGGGUAAAGGCUUACCAAGCAGACGAUCCCUAGAUGGUCUGAGAGGAUGACCAGCCACAACGGAACUGAGACACGGCCCGGACGCCUACGGGAGGCAGCAGUGGGGAAUAUUGCGCAAUGGGGGCAAGCAUGACGCAGCCAUGCCGCGUGUAUGAAGAAGGCCUUCGGGUUGUAAAGUUCUUUCGGUGACGAGGCGUUACUCACAGAAGAAGCACCGGCUAACUCCGUGCCAGCAGCCGCGGUAAUAC
rnacentral:rRNA from 1 species